AAAUUGAAGAGUUUGAUCAUGGCUCAGAUUGAACGCUGGCGGCAGGCCUAACACAUGCAAGUCGAACGGUAACAGGAAGCAGCUUGCUGCUUUGCUGACGAGUGGCGGACGGGUGAGUAAUGUCUGGGAAACUGCCUGAUGGAGGGGGAUAACUACUGGAAACGGUGGCUAAUACCGCAUAACGUCGCAAGACCAAAGAGGGGGACCUUCGGGCCUCUUGCCAUCAGAUGUGCCCAGAUGGGAUUAGCUUGUUGGUGAGGUAACGGCUCACCAAGGCGACGAUCCCUAGCUGGUCUGAGAGGAUGACCAGCCACACUGGAACUGAGAC
rnacentral:rRNA from 2 species